rnacentral:lncRNA from 1 species
UCAAUCUGAAGUAUAUUGGGCCACACCGAGCCGUGUAAGAGCAUGUAUGUGGCCAGCUGGCUGGUGCAUAAAUACUGUAUCGAUACAACAAUUGGAAGGCGGCUAAUGAAAUGAACUGAUCGCGGUGGUGAUGACUGCGGCGCCGAGUAUUCGGUUGAAUCUCCGGCGAUCUAUCAUUAUCGAUUCUCUGUUUCUGUGAGUUCCUAAUAAAAGGCCAGGGACCCUUUUUAUGAACUUGGAGUAGGGAAACGGGGCCAAGAGAUGCGGGGUGGUGGGCGCGCGUGCAGCCGCAGUUGUUUGUGUUAUGGUGUGCGUGAUGGGAGAAAUUUGAGAUUGCCACUCACUACUAGAGAAACCAUUUUUGCAAACGGGGCGGAACGAUUUUUGCAUACGGUUGUCCCAACCGCAUGCACCAAAUCGUCUGUGAAAAUGCAAAUCUUUGCAUGCGGCUAGGCCACCCGCAUGCGAAAAUCCGAUUUUCGCAUACGGACACUUAAGCCGACCGCAUGCAAGCAGAAAAAAUCACGAAAAAAAAAUAAAAUUCAUAAGAUAAACAAAUGACAAAAACCUAGC